CCUACGGGGGGCAGCAGUGAGGAAUAUUGGUCAAUGGGCGAGAGCCUGAACCAGCCAAGUCGCGUGAAGGAUGACGGCCCUACGGGUUGUAAACUUCUUUUGUCAGGGAGCAAUUGGGUCCACGCGUGGGCUUAGCGAGAGUACCUGAAGAAAAAGCAUCGGCUAACUCCGUGCCAGCGGCCGCGGUAAUACGGAGGAUGCGAGCGUUCUCCGGAUUUAUUGGGUUAAAAGGGUGCGUAGGCGGAAUAUCAAGUCAGCGGUAAAAAUUCGGGGCUCAACCCCGUCGUGCCGUUGAAACUGAUGUUCUGGAGUGGGCUAGAAGUAUGCGGAAUGCGUGGUGUAGCGGUGAAAUGCAUAGAUAUCACGCAGAACUCCGAUUGCGAAGGCAGCAUACCGGCGCCCAACUGACGCUGAAGCACGAAAGCGUGGGUAUCGAACAGGAUUAGAUACCCGGGUAGUC
rnacentral:rRNA from 1 species